AGUGAACGCUGGCGGUAGGCCUAACACAUGCAAGUCGAACGGCAGCACAGUACGAGCUUGCUAUUACGGGUGGCGAGUGGCGGACGGGUGAGGAAUACAUCGGAAUCUACUUUUUCGUGGGGGUUAACGUAGGGAAACUUACGCUAAUACCGCCUACGACCUACGUGUGAAAGCAGGGGAUCUUCCGACCUUGCGCGAUUGAAUGAGCCGAUGUCGUAUUAGCUGGUUGGCGGGGUAGAGGCCCACCAAGGCGACGACGGGUAGCUGGUCUGAGAGGGUGAACGGCCACAGAGGGACUGAGAUACGGCCCAGACGACUACGGGAGGCAGCAGUGGGGAAGAUUGCAAAAUGGGCGCAAGACUGAUGCAGCGACGCCGCGUGGGGGAUGACGGUCUGCGGGUUGUAAACUCCUUGCGCUAGGGACGAAGCUUUUUGUGACGGUACAUAGAUAAGAAGCACCGGCUAACUACGUG
rnacentral:rRNA from 1 species